AAUCAACGCUGGCGGCGUGCCUCAGACAUGCAAGUCGAACGCGAAAGUCCCCUUCGGGGGACGAGUAGAGUGGCGUCCGGGUGAGUAACACGUGAGUAAUUUGCCUUCGGGUGGGGAAUAACAGCCGGAAACGGCUGCUAAUACCGCAUGAUGCAGCGGCACCUCAUGGUGACAGUUGUUAAAGCGGGGGAUCGCAAGACCUCGCGCCUGAAGAGAAGCUCGCGGCAGAUUAGCUAGUUGGUAGGGUAAC
rnacentral:rRNA from 1 species